rnacentral:rRNA from 1 species
CAAAGCACUUUGAAGAGAGAGUUAAAGAGGACGUGAAACCGGUAGGAUGGAAACGGAUAGAGCCAGCGAAGUCGCUCGUAUUUAGCCAAAGGCCUGGGGCUACCGGCGGUCGAGUUUCUCAACGAGCUCGGCUGUUUGCGUUGUGCCGGGCUGAGGUGCACUUGCGGGUGUUUGCGCUGAGACUUGCGGGGCAGCGGUUGGACCCGAGGACUAGAGGCUUCCCUUUGGGUUGAACCUGGUUCCGGUGACAGCUGUUUGCGCUGCUCGUACGGUGUCUGGGGUGCUGGACUGCGCGGCUGUUGCCUGGCGCUGGUAUCGCAUGCGAUGCCUAGUCAGAUGGCGGUCGUUCGGCACGGCCACUGGAUGCACUCUCGGUGUAGAAGCUGGUUAUCUCUCCGACCCGUCUUGAAACACGGACCAAGGAGUUUAGCGUAUGCGCGAGUCAUUGGGUGUUGAAAACCCACAGGCGCAAUGAAAGUGAAGGCUCGUUCGGCGGGCUGACAUGCGAGCGUCGGGUCCACGGGCCCGGCGUGCAGCAUGGUCCCGUUGUGGUCGCUUGCGACGCAGCGGAGACAGAGCGUAUGCGCUGAGACCCGAAAGAUGGUGAACUAUUCCUGAGCAGGACGAAGCCAGAGGAAACUCUGGUGGAAGUCCGAAGCGAUUCUGACGUGCAAAUCGAUCGUCUGACUUGGGUAUA